CGAGCAGAACGAAUAGAAAUAUAUCGUAAGAUAUUGCAUGUUAGUUGCGUAAGGGUAAAUAAUAUAUUAGAAAACUACCAUAUAGUUAAGCAUACUAUUGUAUAAAAUCAAUAUAAAAUUCUUAAUAAGUAAAAAAAGAUUAACGUCGCUAAAUGGUGUGCUAAUACAAGAUUAGGUAGUUGGUGGAGGAAUGGUUUACCAAGCCCGCGAUCUUUUGCUGGGGUGAGAGCUUCUACAGCUACAUUAGAACUGAAAACGGUCUAAACUCGUACGCGGGGCAGCAGAAUAGAAUUUUGGUCAAUGCAUGGAAGUGUAAACUGGAAAUAUCGCAUCUGUGAAGACAGGCUUCUGUAAAACAGUUUUUGUGUGUAAAAUAAUGACCUCAAACAAGAAAAAAGCACCGGUUAAACGUAGUGCCAGCAGCUGCGGGAAGACUAAUGGUGUAAGCGUUAUACUCAUUUAUUGGGUGCAAAGGAUUUGUAGGCGCUUUACGGAAGUUGGAUAUUAAAUGUUAGAGGACAGUCUUUUAACGCUGUAUGCAAAACUUGUAAAGUAAGAAUAGAAAAGAAAAACAUCGAAUUAUAAAUGUAGCAGUAGAAUGCGACGAUAUUUAUAAGAAGACCAAGAGCGAAGGCAGUGUUUUAGAUUCUAAUUGACGCUGAGGAAUGAAAGUUAGAGUAUCGAACAGGGGUAGUUAUCCUGGUAGUUCUAGCAGUCAACGAUGAGAAUUAUAUCUUAGAAAAAAAGGGUUAACUGUUGGUUUGAGACAGAAUUCUUGUAAAAAUUUUAGGGAUAAAAGCUAGCGCGUUAAAUUCUCCACCUGGAGACUACACUUGCAAAAGUUAAAUUUUAAGGAGAUGACGGUCUUUGAUCUGAAUGAGUGAAGCUUGUUGUUUAAUGUGAUGAUCCGCGCUUAACCUUACCUGUCAAGUGUGGGUUGUUUAAAUCUUAAUCGGUGUAGAACAAAAUAGAACCCAUCUACUUUCUAGUGCUGCAUGGCUGUCGUCAAUUCGUGUUGUUUGAUAUGUGGACUUAGCUGUCUUCUGAACGAAUGUAACCCUUAAGUUUAUUAUAAUUUUAAUCUUACGAUUUUUAUUGAUAAAUAUGCUGCUUAAUUUAAGAUUAUUAGAAAUUUUUUUAGAGAUUAAAAAAAAUGAAAAAAUUAGCUUACUACAAGGUGGGUUAUAGGCUAUGCCUGUAAAGAAUUAAUUUAGCACAUCUAAUGCAAAUUAGAGGAACAAAAGGUUGAAGUCAAGUCCGUAUGGCUAAUGAUAGGGCUACAGACGUGCUGCAAAGGAAUUUACAAAGAGUUAUACAAGUUAUGAUUAAAUUAAUCUGAAAAAAGUUCCUUAGUUUGGAUUAGCUGCUGCAACUCGCAGCUAUGAGAAAAGGAAUCAUUAGUAAUCGAAUAUCAGAAAGGUUCGGUGAAAAAAGGAUCUCUUAGACGUACACACCGCCCAUCACAUUCUGGGAAUUGGGUUGGCUUGAAGCUUUGUAGACCUACUAGACUUUAUCAGUAUGGAAGUUUAGUAAUCAUAAAUACAUGCGAAAGUAGAUUCGGUCACUGGGAUGAAGUUGUAACAAGGUUGCCGUAGUGGAAACUGCUGC
rnacentral:rRNA from 1 species